AGGCUGGGCAAUCAUCCUUUGCUUGAUGGUUGACCCAGAAACAAACUGGCACUUUUUUGCCCUUGCCAGGCCUGGAGUGAGGAGGAAAAGGCCACUAUACACUGUGCCCUACAAACUAGCCCGGUGUGUGGAAAAUGGACAUUGGCAUGGGCUUUAUGGCUAUGGAACUCACUGUCCUGGAGAUUGGUGUGGAAGGCUGAUCCCCAGUCAGCUGCAAGGAGAGGACUCCUUGGGCUGGGCAGUGGGCAAAGAGAGUGGCUGGGGAGGUGCCUGAGGACAGGGAAGAAGGAGCCCCAAACUGGCCUCGACAACUUCCCCUGUACCCAGUUGUUCCCUGAGGUGAGCAGAGUUGGAACACAUCAUAGAGAGAUUCUCACAACAGCGGCACGGAAGGCUUACGAAGGGCUUUCUGUAAUCUGAGGCUAGUGUGCAGUGACACAGCAUGUGUGGGUGUGCCCUUGAGAGAAACCAGCUUUGCUGCUGCCCAGAGAUGGCGGAGCUGGGGGAAUCUACGGAACUGGAGGGCCCUUGGGAAGCCACAGUCUCUCUCCAGUCUUUUUUUCUCUAGGCAGACUAAAUCUGUGUGGAACUGGCACUCAGUAUCCACCCACACUUUCCUCCCUGUGCUGGGGGUCUCUGAUAGGAGUUUUUACAGUCCUGCUGGAAGCAGGGAGAAGGGAAGGUGGUGUUCCCCUCACCCCAUUUGCCCCAAAACUGGCUGGGGACUUUGGGAUGUGUCACCUGGAGCCAUGUCCUCAGCGGGCAGGGGGAGCCCUCCUGGUCUCUCUCCAGCCCCAAUAUCUCUGUUUAAGAGAAGGAACUGGAGCCUUUAGGAAUAACUGCAGCGACGAGGUCAAUGUAUCUUUCCAGACCUGUUCCAGGCGCAUAGAAAAGAUAAGGAACCCACUAUGUGCCAGGUUUUGUCCCAGGCUCUGAGGAUGCAGAAGUGAGCAAAAGAGACAAAGAUCCUUGUCCUCAAGUCUUCACAGAGCUUAUUCUCUAAAGGGAAAAGACAGAUAAUCAGCAUAGUAGGCUCCCUCUGGAUGCAGCAUUGAGAAUAGACUAGAGGUGAAUAAAAACAAAAGCAUGGAAACCAAGAAGCUAUGCAGCGUAAUGAUGACGGUGGCAAGGACGAGUGUGGUUACAAUGGAGGUGGUGAGAAGUGAUCAGAUUCCAGGGUGAGCACAGAGGAAAGGCCAUGUGAGGACACAAAGAGAAAGCGGCCAUCUACAAGCCGGAGAGAGAGCUCUCACCACAAUCCAAACCCUGCUGGAAACUUGAUCUUAGAUUUCCCAGCCUCUAGAACUGUGAGAAAAUAAACUCCUAUUGUAUAAGCCACACAAUCUGUGGUACUUUGUUAUAGCAGCCUGAGUGGACUAAUACAGUCACCUUGGGAAGCAUUCCUAGCAUCUCAUAGCCUCAGUUUCCCCACUCAGUAGAGUGGGAAUAAGAACACCAUUUAUAGCGUCAUUAUAAGUAUGAAAUGAAGUGUUGCGUGAAAGCACUUUGCACAAUGCCUAGCCCUUAACUGCUGCUCAAUAAAUGACAAGUUCACUGACAACAACUGUGGCACUGGGGUAAAAAUUUAGAGAAAUAUCAACGGAGCAGGACAGACAAGCCAGUAACACACCUCAGCCUUUGUAUAAGCUCCAGGAGUGAGAAGAGAGACUACUUUUUUAUUCACGUUGUGUCAUUUCCCCCAUGUAGCAUAUGUAUGGCACACAGUAGCUGAUUAAAAAUAUUUGUUGACUGCCUAAAUUAGAAUGUAAUACAUGCGAAGGAAGGACUCAUAAAUCAAUUGGUGAAACAAAAGACUAUUCUUUGAAUGGUGUUGGGAAAAUUGCUGAUUUGGAAUAAAAUAAUUAGAUUUUAUCAUUUCAUCCUAUAAAGGGCCUUUUAAACUUUUUUGACCAUGACCCACAGUAAGAAAUAUGUGAGACAACUCAGCUGAGUAAAUGU